CGGGGCGUAGUUCAAUCUGGCAGAGCGCUUGCUUUGGGAGCAAGUUGUUGUCGGUUCGAGUCCGGCCGCCCCGACCA
rnacentral:tRNA from 1 species